GCUGGGCAUUGUGGUGGGUGCCUGUAAUCCCAGCUACUCAGGAGGCUGAGGCAGGAGAAUCACUUGAACCCAGGAGAUGGAGGUUGCAGUGAGCCAAGAUCGUGCCACUGCACUCCAGCCUGGGUGACAGAGUGAGAUUCCAUCUCAA
ensembl:misc_RNA Metazoa_SRP Metazoan signal recognition particle RNA